AGUGAACGCUGGCGGUAGGCCUAACACAUGCAAGUCGAACGGCAGCACAGUAAGAGCUUGCUCUUACGGGUGGCGAGUGGCGGACGGGUGAGGCAUACAUCGGAAUCUACUUUUUCGUGGGGGAUAACGUAGGGAAACUUACGCUACUACCGCAUACGACCUACGGGUGAAAGCAGGGGAUCUUCGCACCUUGGGCGAUUCAAUGAGCUGAUGUCGGAUUAGCUAGGUUGCGGGGUAAAGGCCCACCAAGGCGACGAUCCGUAGCUGGUCUGAGAGGAUGAUCAGCCACACUGGAACUGAGACACGGUCCAGACUCCUACGGGAGGCAGCAGUGGGGAAUAUUGGACAAUGGGCGCAAGCCUGAUCCAGCAAUACCGCGUGGGUGAAGAAGGCCUUCGGGUUGUAAAGCCCUUUUGUUGGGAAAGAAAAGCAGCAGGUUAAUACCCGGCUGUUCUGACGGUACCCAAAGAAUAAGCACCGGCUAACUUCGUG
rnacentral:rRNA from 1 species